rnacentral:rRNA from 1 species
AGGACGAACGCUGGCGGCGUGCUUAACACAUACAAGUCGAGCGGUAAGGCCUUUCGGGGUACACGAGCGGCGAACGGGUGAGUAACACGUGGGUGAUCUGCCCUGCACUUCGGGAUAAGCCUGGGAAACUGGGUCUAAUACCGGAUAUGACCUCCGUAUCGCAUGGUGGGUGGUGGAAAGAUUUAUCGGUGCAGGAUGGGCCCGCGGCCUAUCAGCUUGUUGGUGGGGUAAUGGCCU